rnacentral:misc_RNA from 1 species
GAUGAAGAACGUAGCGAAGUGCGAUAAGUAAUGUGAAUUGCAGAAUUCAGUGAAUCAUCGAAUCUUUGAACGCACAUUGCGCCCGCCAGUAUUCUGGCGGGCAUGCCUGUUCGAGCGUCAUUUCAACCAUCAAGCCCCCGGCUUGUGUUGGGGACCUGCGGCUGCCGCAGGCCCUGAAAACCAGUGGCGGGCUCGCUGUCACACCGAGCGUAGUAGAUUUUCAUCUCGCUCAGGGCGUGCUGCGGGUUCCGGCCGUAAAAAGCCUUAUUUACCCAAGGUUGACCUCGGAUCAGGUAGGAAGACCCGCUGAACUUAAGCAUAUCAAUAAGCGGAGGA